rnacentral:rRNA from 1 species
GACGAACGCUGGCGGCGUGCCUAAUACAUGCAAGUAGAACGCUGAAGAGAGGAGCUUGCUCUUCUUGGAUGAGUUGCGAACGGGUGAGUAACGCGUAGGUAACCUGCCUUGUAGCGGGGGAUAACUAUUGGAAACGAUAGCUAAUACCGCAUAACAAUGGAUGACACAUGUCAUUUAUUUGAAAGGGGCAAUUGCUCCACUACAAGAUGGACCUGCGUUGUAUUAGCUAGUAGGUGAGGUAAUGGCUCACCUAGGCGACGAUACAUAGCCGACCUGAGAGGGUGAUCGGCCACACUGGGACUGAGACACGGCCCAGACUCCUACGGGAGGCAGCAGUAGGGAAUCUUCGGCAAUGGGGGCAACCCUACCGAGCAACGCCGCGUGAGUGAAGAAGGUUUUCGGAUCGUAAAGCUCUGUUGUAAGUCAAGAACGGGUGUGAGAGUGGAAAGUUCACACUGUGACGGUAGCUUACCAGAAAGGGACGGCUAACUACGUGCCAGCCGCCGCCGUAAAAC